AUGAACGCUGGCGGCGUGCUUAACACAUGCCAGUCGAACGAGAAGUGGAGACGGAAACCUUCGGGCGGAAGACUUUAUUUCGAGUGGCGGACGGGUGAGUAACGCGUGGGUAACCUGCCUCAUACAGGGGGAUAACAGUUGGAAACGACUGUUAAUACCGCAUAAGACCACAGCACCGCAUGGUGCGGGGGUAAAAACUCCGGUGGUAUGAGAUGGACCCGCGUUCGAUUAGCCAGUUGGCGGGGUAACGGCCCACCAAAGCGACGAUCGAUAGCCGAUCUGAGAGGAUGACCGGCCACAUUGGGACUGAGACACGGCCCAAACUCCUACGGGAGGCAGCAGUGGGGAAUAUUGCACAAUGGGGGAAACCCUGAUGCAGCGACGCCGCGUGAGUGAAGAAGUAUUUCGGUAUGUAAAGCUCUAUCAGCAGGGAAGAAAAUGACGGUACCUGAGUAAGAAGCCCCGGCUAACUACGUG
rnacentral:rRNA from 1 species